rnacentral:rRNA from 1 species
AGCGAACGCUGGCGGCAGGCCUAACACAUGCAAGUCGAGCGCCCCGCAAGGGGAGCGGCAGACGGGAGAGUAACACGUGGGAACGUGCCCUUCAGUUCGGAACAACCCAGGGAAACUUGGGCUAAUACCGAAUACGUCCGUAAGGAGAAAGAUUUAUUGCUGAAGGAUCGGCCCGCGGCCGAUUAGCUAGUUGGUGAGGUAAUGGCUCACCAAGGCGACGAUCGGUAGCUGGUCUGAGAGGAUGAUCAGCCUCACUGGGACUGAGACACGGCCCAGACUCCUACGGGAGGCAGCAGUGGGGAAUAUUGGACAAUGGGCGCAAGCCUGAUCCAGCCAUGCCGCGUGGGUGAUGAAGGCCCUAGGGUUGUAAAGCCCUUUCGGCGGGGAAGAUAAUGACGGUACCCGCAGAAGAAGCCCCGGCUAACUUCGUGCCAGCCGCCGCCGUAAAAC